GCUCCCAUCGUCUAGCCUGGCCUAGGACAUCACCUUUUCACGGUGAAGACAGGGGUUCAAAUCCCCUUGGGAGUACCA
rnacentral:tRNA from 1 species